rnacentral:rRNA from 1 species
GACGAACGCUGGCGGCGUGCUUAACACAUGCAAGUCGAGCGGAGUGGGGAACGGGUGAGUAACACGUGGGUGACCCUCCCUGCGCUUCGGGAUUAGCGUGAGAAGCGGGGUUUACUACCGCGUCGUGUGGGAGGGGUCGGCGGCCUAUCAGCUUGUUGGGGGUGUAAUGGCCUACCAGGGCGGCGACGGGUAGCCGGCCUGAGAGGGUGGACGGCCACAUUGGGACUACGACACGGACCAGACUCGUACGGGAGGCAGCAGGGGGGAAUAUUGCACAAUGGGCGGAAGCCUGAUGCAGCGACGCCGCGUGGGGGAUGACGGCCUUCGGGUUGUAAACUCCUGUCACCAUCGACGCGGUAGAUGGAGAAGAAGCACCGGCUAACUACGUGCCAGCAGCCGCGGUAAUAC